GAUGAACGCUGGCGGCGUGCCUAAUACAUGCAAGUCGAGCGAACAGACGAGGAGCUUGCUCCUCUGACGUUAGCGGCGGACGGGUGAGUAACACGUGGAUAACCUACCUAUAAGACUGGGAUAACUUCGGGAAACCGGAGCUAAUACCGGAUAAUAUAUUGAACCGCAUGGUUCAAUAGUGAAAGACGGUUUUGCUGUCACUUAUAGAUGGAUCCGCGCCGCAUUAGCUAGUUGGUAAGGUAACGGCUUACCAAGGCAACGAUGCGUAGCCGACCUGAGAGGGUGAUCAGCCACACUGGAAAUGGGACACGGGCCAGACUCCUACGGGAGGCAGGAGUGGGGGAAAUUUCCGCAUGGGCGGAAGCCUGAACGAGCCAUCCCGCGUGGGGGAAGAAGGCUUUCGGGUUGGAAAACCCUUUUUAUGGGGAAAAAAAAAAGGUGGAAAAAACUAUGCUGUUCUGACGGGAACCAAAGCAAAAGCCCCGGCUAACUUCGGG
rnacentral:rRNA from 1 species